AUAUCCUUUAGGGGAUGUCACGGCUUUGGUUAAGUUUUCCUUUUUACUCCUUAGCUGCUAGCGCAGUUUUAAUGAUAGCUGUUUCACAUGUGCAUGCGGCACUCAUGUGGGCAGAGCUGUCAGAAGACUGUAAAGUCUCAACCAUCCUGCGAUUGCUUGCACCUGAGGAAGACGGAAUGACGAUGUUCUGCGCCAUGAAUAACAGAGUACACCAGUCAUCAUAAGAAGAAAAAUUCACAUUUAAAGUUUGGAAAGCAACAGGACAAAGGUCUGUCUUCAGUGGUGCGUAGACAUGCUCGUGAUUGAAUUGGAAAUAGUUCUCUUUCCUUCUCUCUGACUUCCUAACUGAAAAGCUGCAGCGUGGGGAGAAAGGCUGCUCAGAAGCCUGGAGCCAGAACACGCACCCCGGCUUUUGCAGGGCCGGCUCACUUGGUUAGAAUCAAAGGAAAAGCCUUGUUAUUUGGGAAGCUGGGCGUCCUCACCAAAUUAGGGGAUUUAAUUUGCAGAUAUCUAAGGAGUGCUUUGAAAUGAAAGAUGAACUAAAAUCUGCUCUGAGGCCCGUGAUUUUUCACCAGUGAAGGACUCUCUUGCUGCUGGACAUACAUGAAAAGCAUCAUCUGAUCUGAAACGCAAGUCCCUGCAAGACAGAGGAGAGACUUUAUAAACAUUUUAUACCAUUCUAUGAAAUCAAUUCGAUUCAGGGCUAGAAUUCAAGAAGUAAUCCAUGGGCAAGUAUAUCUGAUGGUAAACCCAAACGAUUAUAUUGUUAACCUCUUGUACUUUUUUUAAUUUUUUAUUAUUUGAUAUUAUUAUCACAAAAGUCGCUGGAACAGGAUCCAUGAGCUGCUUCUUCACUGCUUAGUGUUUUCA
rnacentral:lncRNA from 1 species